rnacentral:rRNA from 1 species
CUUUGCUGAGGAUACGGUUAACGGAGCGAAAGCGACGUUCAACCGCAAAACAAGCAGAGGGGGCUUAGUGGUGGGGUGACUGCGUACCUUUUGUAUAAUGGGUCAGCGACUUAUAUUCUGUAGCAAGGUUAACCGAAUAGGGGAGCCGGAGGGAAACCGAGUCUUAAUUGGGCGUUAAGUUGCAGGGUAUAGACCCGAAACCCGGUGAUCUAGCCAUGGGCAGGUUGAAGGUUGGGUAACACUAACUGGAGGACCGAACCGACUAAUGUUGAAAAAUUAGCGGAUGACCUGUGGCUGGGGGUGAAAGGCCAAUCAAACCGGGAGAUAGCUGGUUCUCCCCGAAAGCUAUUUAGGUAGCGCCUCGUGAAUUCAUCUCCGGGGGUAGAGCACUGUUUCGGCUAGGGGGCCAUCCCGGCUUACCAACCCGAUGCAAACUGCGAAUACCGGAGAAUGUUAUCACGGGAGACACACGGCGGGUGCUAACGUCCGUCGUGAAGAGGGAAACAACCCAGACCGCCAGCUAAGGUCCCAAAGUCAUGGUUAAGUGGGAAACGAUGUGGGAAGGCCCAGACAGCCAGGAUGUUGGCUUAGAAGCAGCCAUCAUUUAAAGAAAGCGUAAUAGCUCACUGGUCGAGUCGGCCUGCGCGGAAGAUGUAACGGGGCUAAACCAU